rnacentral:rRNA from 1 species
UACGUAGGGGGCGAGCGUUGUCCGGAAUCAUUGGGCGUAAAGCGCGUGUAGGCGGCCCGGUAAGUCCGCUGUGAAAGUCCAGGGCUCAACCCUGGGAUGCCGGUGGAUACUGUCGGGCUCGAGUCCGGAAGAGGCGAGUGGAAUUCCUGGUGUAGCGGUGAAAUGCGCAGAUGUCAGGAGGAACACCAAUGGCGAAGGCAGCUCGCUGGGACGUGACUGACGCUGAGACGCGAAAGCGUGGGGAGCAAACAGG